GUGCCAGCAGCCGCGGUAAUACGGAGGGUGCAAGCGUUAAUCGGAAUUACUGGGCGUAAAGCGCAUGCAGGUGGUGGAUUAAGUCAGAUGUGAAAGCCCGGGGCUCAACCUCGGAACCGCAUUUGAAACUGGUUCACUAGAGUACUGUAGAGGGGGGUAGAAUUUCAGGUGUAGCGGUGAAAUGCGUAGAGAUCUGAAGGAAUACCGGUGGCGAAGGCGGCCCCCUGGACAGAUACUGACACUCAGAUGCGAAAGCGUGGGGAGCAAACAGGAUUAGAUACCCCCGUAGUCC
rnacentral:rRNA from 1 species